CACCCCUAUCCUUUUACAUUCAUGACUGAUACGAUUUAUUGAAGUGUCCUACACCUACCGGUGCCCAGCCCACAUGGGUUUACAAGAAACUACAGAACAAAAUAACAUUUGACAAAUCAUACGCAUACAGUACAGCUACCAUCCAGCCACACUACACAACCAGCUACCAUCCAGCCACACUACACAACCAGCUACCAUCCAGCUACACAACCAGCUACCAUCCAGCCACACUUCACAACCAGCUACCAUCCAGCCACACUACACUACCAGCUACCAUCCAGCUACACAACCAGCUACCAUCCAGCCACACUUCACAACCAGCUACCAUCCAGCCACACUUCACAACCAGCUACCAUCCAGCUACACAACCAGCUACCAUCCAGCUACACAACCAGCUACCAUCCAGCCACACUUCACAACCAGCUACAGUCCAGCUACACAACCAGCUACCAUCCAGCUACACAACCAGCCACCAUCCAGCCACCCUACACAACCAGCUACCAUCCAGCCACACUACACAACCAGGUACCAUCCAGCCACACAACCAACUACCAUCCAGCCACACUACACAACCAGGUACCAUCCAGCCACACAACCAGCUACCAUCCAGCCACGCUACACAAUCAGCCACACUACACAACCAGCUACCAUCCAGCCACACUACACAACCAGGUACCAUCCAGCCACACAACCAGCUACCAUCCAGC
ensembl:lncRNA